GACGAACGCUGGCGGCGUGCCUAAUACAUGCAAGUCGAGCGGACAGAAGGGAGCUUGCUCCCGGAAGUCAGCGGCGGACGGGUGAGUAACACGUGGGUAACCUGCCUAUAAGACUGGGAUAACUCCGGGAAACCGGGGCUAAUACCGGAUAAUAUCAAGAGCUGCAUGGCUUUCGGUUGAAAGGCGGCUUCGGACGGCACUUAUCGAUGGCCCCGCGGCGCAUUAGCUAGUUGGGGGGGUAACGGCCCACCAAGGCAACGAUGCGUAGCCGACCUGAGAGGGUGAUCGGCCACACUGGGACUGAGACACGGCCCAGACUCCUACGGGAGGCAGCAGUAGGGAAUCUUCCGCAAUGGACGAAAGUCUGACGGAGCAACGCCGCGUGAGUGAAGAAGGUUUUCGGAUCGUAAAACUCUGUUGUCAGGGAAGAACAAGUACCGGAGUAACUGCCGGUACCUUGACGGUACCUGACCAGAAAGCCACGGCUAACUACGUGCCAGCCGCCGCGGUAA
rnacentral:rRNA from 1 species